UNGCAUGGUGUUCUCUAUUGCCAGAGAGGC
rnacentral:piRNA from 1 species